AACGAACGCUGGCGGCGUGUUUAAGACAUGCAAGUCGCACGGAGUGAAGUUGUAGCAAUACCGCUUCACUCAGUGGCGCACGGGUGAGUAACACGUGAAUUACAUGCCCUUCAGUGGGGAAUAGCCCAGGGAAACUUGGAUUAAUACCCCAUGGUAUCGCAAGAUUAAAGGUGGCCGCAAGGCUGUCGCUGAAGGAUUGGUUCGCGCCCUAUCAGCUUGUUGGUGAGGUAACGGCUCACCAAGGCUACGACGGGUACCUGGUCUGAGAGGACGAUCAGGCACACUGGAACUGAGACACGGUCCAGACACCUACGGGUGGCAGCAGUCGAGAAUAAUUCACAAUGGACGAAAGUCUGAUGGUGCAACGCCGCGUGGAGGAUGACGGUCUUCGGAUUGUAAACUCCUGUCAUCCGGGAGUAAGACCUGGCUGUGAAUAGCAGACAGGGUUGAUAGUACCGGAAGAGGAAGGGACGGCUAACUUCGUGCCAGCCGCCGCGGUAAAAC
rnacentral:rRNA from 1 species